rnacentral:lncRNA from 1 species
UAAAAUUUCAUGAUGCACGGAUAUUAAUAAUAAUAAAUAUAAUAUGUUGAAUGAAUAGGUGAAGUGAGUAAAAUAUAUGAGUGUGGAUGUGAUGUAACAGGGAGGGAGAUUGUGAGCUAUGAAAUUCCGAAGCCUGUGAUAGGAAUCCACAGGUAUGUGUUCUUAUUGUUCAAGCAAAAAGCAAGGCAAUCAGUGAGGACACCUGUUUCCAGAGAUCAAUUUAACACUCGGUUAUUCUCUCAAGAAAAUGAGCUAGGCUUACCAGUUGCUGCUGUCUACUUCAAUGCUCAAAGAGAAAAUGCUGCACGUAGAAGAUAACUCUACUUCAUACACGCAUAUACUCUGUUUGUCUGUCUGCAUGUACUCAAAACAAACCAAUAAAACCUUUACUCUAUAGUUUCAUAUUGCAUUAUACUUAUUUUAACUUGUUUAUGAAAUGUAUUUUAGUUUCAUAUUUUAAGUGUAUUUGUGUCAUACAUGUUUAAUAAGGAACUUGGAUGUGUUGUUCCAUAUGGCUGGCUUUAUAUUUUGAUUAAUUGCCUCUUAAGACUGAUUUCCAGGUUCUGUAAACGGCUACAAUCUCAAACAAUUAAGCACAUACAGUAUCAAUUGCAAACUCAAUCUGACUUUCUUAAUACGUCAUGUUGGAGAUCGCAUCCAGUUUGGAUCCAACAAAACACAUCUGCUGAAUAUUUAAAGUAUGCUUAACUAAUAUCUCUAAAUCGGUUAGGAAUAUCUAGGAAUGGAACUGAUAACAGAAUUCUCAAUCACUAUCCCCAAAACUGAAAUUGAAAUUGUGAAGAUCAUAUUAACAGAUUCAUACAUACAUGCUUCUCAAAAUUCAAACAGGAAUAAACAAAUGGAGACCAAGUUCGGUUACUAAUUACUUACCAGGUGGAAGUAAUUCUUUCAGCCGACGACAGCUCCGUUAUCAAGAGCCACGAUGUACAAAUUAACGAAGAGACAAUCUGCUAAAACAAGAAAAAAGUCGAUCAAGUCAAAUAAUGAGGGGAUAAUAGAAAACCUAAAGAGAUUGCGAGAGUUGGAGAAAGCAAUUGUAAAGUAAUAACAUCGCGAAAUCGCUUCCGGCCACCGAAUCUCUCUGCCGCGAUAAGCACUUGAAACGGUUUCCCCCUUUUGGCUUUCCCGGAACUUUUUGCAAGGGCUAUAGAUGUUUUAUAAAGGGAUAUUAACCGCCUGUUUCAUAUUGUUUAUUUG